rnacentral:rRNA from 1 species
UACGUAGGGUGCAAGCGUUGUCCGGAAUUAUUGGGCGUAAAGAGCUCGUAGGCGGUCUGUCGCGUCUGCUGUGAAAACUCGGGGCUUAACCCCGGACUUGCAGUGGGUACGGGCAGGCUAGAGUGUGGUAGGGGAGACUGGAAUUCCUGGUGUAGCGGUGGAAUGCGCAGAUAUCAGGAGGAACACCGAUGGCGAAGGCAGGUCUCUGGGCCACUACUGACGCUGAGAAGCGAAAGCGUGGGGAGCAAACAGG